rnacentral:lncRNA from 10 species
UGUGACUUAAGACCCUCCAUGUCUGGCCUUGAUUUCUUUGGCUCUCCAGAACCUAUGGGAAGAUCAAGAAAUGUCACUUCUGAGAAAAAAAAAAUGUCUAAUGCAAGGAGUGAAGAGAGCUUUUUAUAUCUUACACUGACCACAACACACAGUUCAGAAAACUUAAAUAACCCUAACUAAAAUUUGAAAGGUGCUUCAAAGCAUAGAAAGUACCUUGACAUGUAUUUUCUCAUUGGAUUCUUAUAAACCUAUAAAACGGUGCUUACUCCAUUUCAGAAAUGAGAAAAUGGCGACCCAGAAAAUAAAGCAGCAUGCACAAGACUACAUGCUACACAGGGGACUGAUCUGACACCAAAACUUGACUGCAGAUUGUCUGCUUUCAACUCUCACCAGCAAAACAGACAAAAGUGCUUUGGACAUGCAAGUGUUUAUUAUGUUGCAUUUUGGAACUCCAGACCUAAAACCAAACAUAGACAAAUAUAAAACAAAACAAAAAAACACUAAAGAUCAAACCCAUUCUCAAACCCAAACACCCAGAAAAUAAAAGGAAAUUAUUAUUAUUUUUUUCUCAGGGGAAGCAAGUGGUUGAUUUCAUGUGGGAUUAACUCUCAACUCUGAUGAACCUCAUGGUCUCCUGGAUCUUCCCAAACCAAGGCUCUGGGACAGCAAUUAAUCAGAUGGAAAGUCUGGGGAUUUAUCUCUCCACCAUCACUGCUUUCUGCUGAAUGCUGACUUAAAGAUGUGAAUCCACUCAAUUAUCUCACAGUUAGGAAGAAGCGAAUCUAUAGUUCAACGACACAGAGAUGAGAGCCCAGGACAAUCCCUAAGAGUCUGACUGACAAUUAAUUAGAUAGAUAGCAUCUUAUACUUGGGAAAGACCUUAGAGGUCUCAUCCAAUCUCCCUCCUGCUAUAAGAAUCCUUCCCUAGCAAGCCUGACAAAUCACCACCUGGUGUUGGCUCCUGAGAUGGGAAUUUUCAUUGUCUCGAGGUACCCGUUCCACUGCUGUGAGAUGUGCUCUUGUUGUUAGAAUGGAUUGCCUUCUUGGGAUCAAAUUAUUUCCCCUUUUAAGCCGUCAGCCCACUUUUUUGGCCUGAAAGAUUAUGGUUAUUUGUGCAUUCACAUGCUAUUCUUUGAAUAUUUGAAGUCAGCUCUCUUGACUUCCUUAAACUAUCUCUUCUCUAUUCAAAAUAUACCCAGCUUCUCCAACUUUUUCUAAAUUCAUUGAUUUUUAAGACUUUCUACAAAUAGUUCCAUUUUUGUACAUUUUUUUUUUGGAGAAAUGUUCAUAGCUGAAUAGGGUCUAUUUUUCCUACUUAAUCUGACCCAUGUACUUUCAAUACCUUUACUGGUCAUUAGCUCUAUACCAGUAAGGCCAAAUAUAUGGUGGUGGGUGAUAGUAUCAGCUCCCUCAACUCUGCAACCCACUGGAGCUUACCAAAUGAGAACUGGUUUUCUUCAUGCAAUUUACCUCAAAAGCCACACCAUCAGCAAGAGGACCAGAACUAAUUGUCAAAGUGCAAGCCACAACGAACACACAAUUGUCACUUAAAACCAGUUUUUGCUUCAGUAAGCUUUUUUUUUCUAUCUAGUAUUUUAUCUCUUAAAAUAAAGAGAAAAAACAGGUAAGAAACUAGUUUACCAAUAACUUUGACAAAUAGCCCCUGAGGUAGAGGGAGUGACAUUUGGAAAGUUGGUAAAAGCCACCAGAGUCAAAGCAACCUAAACAAAAAAAAAAAAGAAAAAAAAAAAAAAACUUGUGGCUAUGCUACACUCAACCAGGCCACACCUGUUUUCAGAAACCACUGAGUGUUCUGCAGAUACGCAGAGAUGCCAGGUCUGACAGUCUCUAAGGCAACCAGAUACCGAUCAUUGUCACACAGUAAGAAAUAGGAAGAGACACUGGUAACAAACAUUAAGCCUGGUUUUCUCAUCUGCUCAACAGUGUAACGGUAGGUGGAGUCAGCUCUGCCUUGAGACUCUUCACUUGUCCAGUCUCAAACUCUAAACACCUACUGGAGUGCAGGGCAUCCUGCAGCUGGAUAAGUAACUGAAGAUCUGAAGCCCACCUCUUAAGCGUAAUCCCGCAAUCGAAUGUGGACUUUGAAAUGGGCUUUUGAGGAGAAAAGGACAAGCUGCAGUUUCCCCCGUCUUCUAAUUUCCUCAUCUGCGAAAUAAAACAGAGUGUUUAUAUGUCCAGAGAGUGGUGAGCCAGUGAACUGGGAUGACACAAAGAGAUAACUUAUCUAAUUUGGUUCCCAAACGGGUGGGUUGGAUUUUAGUUAAUAAGUCACCAUCAUAGGAAAAUAUAAGCAGGUCCCUGCUUUCUGAGCAUUUAUGUCUAUUGAAGAUGUACAGUAUCAUGCUUUCCCUUUCUGAGACAUUUCCAAUCUGUAAUAUGUCAAUAAGAAUAAAGCAAAUGGGCAUUUUGUAAGAAGUUGGCAGAGGUGCAGAAUGCAUUUAGGAAUUGGAAUGAGUGCUUGUCUACUGCUUUUCAAAUCAUUGCAUUGGGAUUACUUAUGCCUGUGUUUUUCUUGCUCCCUAGACUGAGCUCCUUGACAUCAGGGGCUCAUUUUUGUUUAUUGGUGUCGUUCCCACUCUUCCUGGUGUCAUGUUUUGCACCUGUGGAUAGUCAAGUAAUAGUUGAAUAGUUGUUCAGUUGAAUCAUUCUGUUGCUUUUAGGAGGUGCAGUUUGAAGACACUGCAGCUAGACUGAAAUCACAUAGCCCAGGAAAUGGGAAAACAUACCGUGAAGAUGGGCUAAUUAAUGAUUUAUUGUACCUUGAAAAAAUUUAAAAAAGUAUAAAUAUUAAUGAAAGUAUUGGUUUUUAAAGCUUAAUGAUGAUCAGCAGCAGAAGAUAAAACUUAAAUGAUACAACUGGCCAGAUGGCAACCAUCUUUAUUAAAAGGCCUGGUCAGAAUAAGAAUCAUUACAUAGAAUUGAAUAUGGGACAGAAUGUUGAGAAUCAAUUAUAGUAG